rnacentral:rRNA from 1 species
UACGUAGGGCGCAAGCGUUAUCCGGAAUUAUUGGGCGUAAAGAGCUCGUAGGCGGUUUGUCGCGUCUGCCGUGAAAGUCCGGGGCUCAACUCCGGAUCUGCGGUGGGUACGGGCAGACUAGAGUGAUGUAGGGGAGACUGGAAUUCCUGGUGUAGCGGUGAAAUGCGCAGAUAUCAGGAGGAACACCGAUGGCGAAGGCAGGUCUCUGGGCAUUAACUGACGCUGAGGAGCGAAAGCCAGGGUAGCGAACGGG